UACGGAGGGUGCGAGCGUUUGUCCGGAAUCACUGGGCGUAAAGGGCGCGUAGGUGGCCCGUGGAAGUCUGCGGUGAAAGCCCGGCGCUCAACGCCGGGUCGGCCGUGGAUACUCUCGGGCUUGAGCUCACUAGAGGCAGAUGGAAUUCCGGGGUGUAGCGGUGGAAUGCGUAGAGAUCCGGAAGAACACCGGUGGCGAAGGCGGUCUGCUGGGGUGAGGCUGGACACUGAUGCGCGACAGCGUGGGGGAGCAAACAGG
rnacentral:rRNA from 1 species